GACGAACGCUGGCGGCGUGCCUAAUACAUGCAAGUAGAACGCAGUUGCGAACGGGUGAGUAAGGCGUAGGUAACUGCCGGGUAGAGGGGGAUAACUAUUGGAAACGAUAGCUAAUAAUGCAUACUAACAGAUGGACCUGGGUUGUAUUAGCUAGUUGGUGGGGUAACGGCUUACCAAGGAAACGAUACAUAGCCGACCUGAGAGGGUGAUCGGCCACACUGGGACUGGGGCACGGCCCAGACUCCUUCGGGAGGCAGCAGUAGGGAAUCUUCGGCAAUGGACGGAAGUCUGACCGAGCAACGCCGCGGGAGUGAAGAAGGUUUUCGGAUCGUAAAGCUCUGUUGUAAGAGAAGCGGUAUCUUACCAGAAAGGGACGGCUAACUCCGUGCCAGCAGCCGCGGUAAUUC
rnacentral:rRNA from 1 species